CCUACGGGAGGCAGCAGUGGGGAAUAUUGGACAAUGGGCGAAAGCCUGAUCCAGCCAUGCCGCGUGUGUGAAGAAGGCCUUCGGGUUGUAAAGCACUUUCAGUGGGGAAGAAAGCCUUGGGGCUAAUACCCUCGAGGAAGGACAUCACCCACAGAAGAAGCACCGGCUAACUCCGUGCCAGCAGCCGCGGUAAUACGGAGGGUGCGAGCGUUAAUCGGAAUUACUGGGCGUAAAGCGCGCGUAGGCGGUCUGAUAAGCCGGUUGUGAAAGCCCCGGGCUCAACCUGUGAACGGCAUCCGGAACUGUCAGGCUAGAGUGCAGGAGAGGAAGGUAGAAUUCCCGGUGUAGCGGUGAAAUGCGUAGAGAUCGGGAGGAAUACCAGUGGCGAAGGCGGCCUUCUGGACUGACACUGACGCUGAGGUGCGAAAGCGUGGGUAGCAAACAGGAUUAGAUACCCCAGUAGC
rnacentral:rRNA from 1 species